rnacentral:rRNA from 1 species
CCUACGGGAGGCUGCAGUGAGGAAUAUUGGUCAAUGGCCGGAAGGCUGAACCAGCCAUGCCGCGUGAAGGUCAGUGCCCUAUGGGCGUUAAACUUCUUUUGUGCGGGAGCAAUAAUGGUCACGUGUGGCCAGACGAGAGUACCGUACGAAUAAGCAUCGGCUAACUCCGUGCCAGCAGCCGCGGUAAUACGGGGGAUGCAAUCGUUUUCCGGGGUUAUUGGGUUUAAAGGGUGCGUAGGCUGGGAGGUAAGUCAGCGGUGAAAUGCCCCCGCCCAAAGGGGUGAAGUGCCAUUGAUACUGCCUUGCUUGAAUGCGGAUGCCGUGGGAGGAAUGUGUGGUGUAGCGGUGAAAUGCAUAGAUAUCACACAGAACACCGAUUGCGAAGGCAGCUCACGAAUCCGCGAUUGACGCUGAUGCACGAAAGCGUGGGUAUCAAACAGGAUUAGAUACCCGUGUAGUC